AAUACGCGCGUACUUGUCAAACAGAGAACCCGGGCUCUCUUUUACCGAGAGACUCGGGCCGCCGAUACGCCGUCGCAGGGUCGUCUGUGGCGUUGUGGCCUUCGCCGAGGAGAGUAAUGCCGGUUUUUUGCUCAAUGACAAAUUCCCCCCCGAGCCACAAUUGAGAUCCUUCGCGAUCGCUUCGAUCGUGGUUCGGACGGAUUCGUCGUUUUUCGACAAGAGAAGACACACCGAAGCUGUGGACUCAAGCAAGCGCGACGGAAGAUGUUGGCUCCGGUGUUUGCAACAGAGAAAUGUGCGAUCAAAAAUAAUAAAAUUAAGAACCGUAACAAAUACAAACUAUAAAUAAAAAUAACGCGUCGCAACUAAAGACAUCUCUCAUUACUUGGCCACGCUUCUUAUCGUCCGAAAGUAAUAAAAAAAAAAAAACUGCAGCUUGAAGGAUAACAAAGAUCAGACCUCUCUCCGAGAAACGCGGUCAGUAUGAUCGAUUUUUGAUAUUUACUUGAAAAAGAAUUUUAUAAAG